rnacentral:rRNA from 1 species
GCCCAGAGAGGUGGGCAACUACCACUCAGGGCCGGAAAGUUAUCCAAACUCGGUCAUUUAGAGGAAGUAAAAGUCGUAACAAGGUCUCCGUUGGUGAACCAGCGGAGGGAUCAUUA